UACAGAGGUCUCAACCGUUGUUCGGAUUCAUUGGGCGUAAAGGGUGCGUAGGCGGCGCAGAAAGUAGGGUGUGAAAGCCCUCGGCUCAACCGGGGAAUUGCGCUCUAAACUACUGUGCUUGAGGGACCUAGAGGUGAGCGGAACUGAUGGUGGAGCGGUGAAAUGCGUUGAUAUCAUCAGGAACACCGGAGGCGAAGGCGGCUCACUGGGGGUCUUCUGACGCUGAGGAACGAAAGCCAGGGGAGCGAACGGG
rnacentral:rRNA from 1 species